UAGAGUUUGAUCCUGGCUCAGAAUGACCGUUGGCGGCGUGCCUAACACAUGCAAGUCGAGCGAGAAAGUCUCUUCGGAGAUAAGUACAGCGGCGGACGGGUGAGUAACGCGUGAGAAUUUACCCUUUAGUGAAGAAUACCUCUGAGAAAUCAGGGUUAAUACUGCAUACGUCCCUACGGGGAGAAAGGUGGCCUCUUUGCUGCCGCUAAAGGAUAAGCUUGCGUACUAUUAGCUAGUUGGUGAGGUAAAGGCUCACCAAGGCGAUGAUGGUUAGCCGGCCUGAGAGGGUGUACGGCCACACUGGAACUUAGACACGGUCCAGACUCCUACGGGAGGCAGCAGUGAGGAAUAUUGCGCAAUGGGCGAAAGCCUGACGCAGCGACGCCGCGUGGAGGAUGAAGGUCUUCGGAUUGUAAACUCCUGUUAAGUGGGAAGAAAGACCUAUUUCUAAUACAGAUAGGGGAUGACGGUACCAUUAGAGAAAGCACCGGCUAACUUCGUGCCAGCAGCCGCGGUAAUA
rnacentral:rRNA from 1 species